GGUUUAGUUGCCCGCACAGUCGCACUCUGGAAGAGGCCAUUGUGGUGGCGGAGAGUGUGGGGGGACCAGUUCAUACGAAUUUUGUAGUUGGUAGUCGCCACAUUUUGCGAUCUAUUGGCCCUCUUCGUCCAAAGGAAAUUGGCAAAUCGUGAUUACUAUGUCCUCUCCCUGAUGAUAUCUUGUUAGCCACCACAGUGCUUCGUGAGUGAAAUGAAGUACUAUCCUGGCCUUUCUCAAAACGAAGAACACUACAAGUUGAGAAGAAUUGUAGGUUGAAGACCAUAGCCAAAAUUAGUGCUCAUGAAAAAAGUAACAAGAAGAUUUUGACUGAAUACAUCUAUUGUGGUCAAGAGCAUACAAUCUAUAAGAUUCGUCUCGACAACAUCUGAUUAGAGUCAAACUCUUCAGGGUUUUCUUACCCAACUGUUAUUUCCCUGACGCUGGAUUUCCUCAGUUGUAGAUAGGAACAUUUGGGAAUCUUGAACCGUGCAUGCACAUCGCAGUUGGACAAUGAGACGUUUAUUUGCUUUAUAGAAUUGAGCAUCCUCCUCUAGUUUGUAGUCUUAGGUGUCACAGUGAUAUCAACCCCUUGGGUUCAUCAAUCCACAAUGACAGGUACUUAUGUGGUAUGGCUAUGCUAGGAUUACACCCAAUGAAUUUAGAAAGCCACAAGUGAAGGCGAGAGACCCACAGCUUCAUUAUCUCGUCGAAGUCUUGUAGGAUGGCCACUCUUCCCAAAAGUUCAUGUACCCCACAUAAAGUGUAGUCGUCCUUGGAGAUUCCAGACCACUAGGCCAAGGAAAGGCAAGCAUGGGUGCCACUCCACAAGGCAUGCACCUCACAGAGCAGAAAUGACUUCUAAGGAGAUAACAGACUGCUACCUGUGGCUUUUCCCAACGGCUUCUUCUUCAGCCUUCCCCACCCAAGGACAACAAUGGUCACUAGUAUGGAUCUUGCCACUCUGUGGGUUGAACUCCUCUGCAAAACAAUACUUGUGAUGAGAAUCUAGGCAUCCUCAUGCAGUGCAAAAAUGAGACUGUGGUUGGCAUUGGGCAAUUAGGGGAGCUGACGAGCCAGUAUCCUGCAGACAAGCGGUUACUUCUGAUUUUUACCUACACAUUGACUUUGACUUAAGGUGCGCCAAUGUACUAUAGCCUAGUCAAUGACAGGUACCACAUAACACGGCAGUUUCAUUGCAAGAAAUGUGUGGGAAAGAUCUCAGGUCGAGAGAUUCGAAUUGCAAUUGAAUUGUUUUGUCACUGACCACUUGGCCCAUGAAAGACAACAAACUUGAAGAAAACAAGAGCUUGGAAAUAGCUGUAGGUCAGAAUGUAAAUAUUUAGCAGUUAAUCAAUGAGCAAUUGAACUAUUUAAACAAGAGAACAGAUGAUAAACACUUAAUAUUUACUAACAGCAGAAUCCAUAACAACAUGACAGAUGAAACAUUAACGAGCUGUUACAGUUUACCCAUAAAUUUAGUAAUGUGUUAAGGGCAUAAGUGCAUGUACUAUGAGUAUGAGAUAUCUAGAAGCAACUGUAAAAUUUGAAACAAAAACAUUAAAGGCAUUUAUGGAAAAGACUGGAAUUAACAGCUUGCAAGUGCGUCACCGUGUAAGAGCAUGGAGGAAUAAGAAUGGGUGGAGUAUCGUUGCAAUGAAAACACUAGAAAAACUAUCAUGUGCACUACAGAGUACCAGACUGUCCAUUAUUCCCAUGAACUUACAAGAUUUGGGAUUUAUAAGAGGAAGAAGACUAGUCCAUCAAGGAAACUGGCAAGAGGACCCGCCUCCUCACAAACCAGUUGAGAGCUAAGAGGAGAGCCUCCCAAAAAUGCAAUGCAAGUGGAAAGGAAUUUGACAAUUGGUUAUCAUAGGUGAAUAUUGAAGUAGUCAGUGGCGCAUAAUUAUUUUUCAUGUUUUAAGGAGACCAUUCAUACGGAGUAACACCUUUAGAUUGUUGUUUAUUUUACAAAUAUGAAUUCAAAAGUAGUGAUAUAAGGAGUUUUAGUAAAUUCUGAGUAGUAAUACGUAUCAAGAAUUGGAAUGUGGUAUAUGCUGUGCCACCCAAAACUCCCUCUU